UAAGCGUGCGCAGGCGGUUUUGUAAGACUGUCGUGAAAUCCCCGGGCUCAACCUGGGAAUGGCGAUGGUGACUGCAAGGCUAGAGUUUGGCAGAGGGGGGUAGAAUUCCACGUGUAGCAGUGAAAUGCGUAGAUAUGUGGAGGAACACCGAUGGCGAAGGCAGCCCCCUGGGUCAAAACUGACGCUCAUGCACGAAAGCGUGGGGAGCAAACAGGAUUAGAUACCCUGGU
rnacentral:rRNA from 1 species